rnacentral:lncRNA from 1 species
AGCUAACAAGGAAAACGAGGCAUCGGCAUCCAAAGGAAAAGAAAAGAUCGUUGAGGAGUAAACGCGUAUUCCGGGUUUGUAUUACUAUAACUUAAUCUAUUUAAUAAAUGCUAGAUUGAAAUUGUAUUCAUGGGACAUUUAAAGUAAGGUAAGUAAUAACAUUUGAAAUUAAGUAAGAAUAUGUGUGAAUAUUUAAUUAUAUGUGAAUUGAAAUAAUAGAUGUUUUGAAUUGUUUGAGUAUUUGAAAUUGUUGUGGAAAUGAACUCGAAAUUGGAAAUGUAAAUUAAUACCCUAUUAACUUAUCGGACUAGAUUGGAUACAAAUGGCAUGCCAUUGGAUUUGUGAUGUGAUGAUGAGAUUUGUAGUUCGGCCGAGAAGAUGAUUAUAUUAUUAUAUGCUUCGGUUUAUCCGAAGAGGCAUUUAAUGCCUUAUUGGUGUGUUAUGGAGGAUUUAAAUAAUUUCGGGUGUGUUUAGGUUGAAUAUUCUGGUGUGUUUGGGUGGAAUCCUCGUAUCUGUCAGAGUCCGAGCCUUGUUAAUAGAGUAAAUAAUUGAAAUGAAAAUUUGAAAAUGAAAUUGGUUGAUUUGACACUAUAGAAAAAUGCGAGAAAGAAUGUAUGAGUUAAAUUAUAAAUUGAAUUAGUAUGUAAAUAUAUAUAUAAAUUUAAGAUCUAUGGAAUGAUAUAUGAAUAUGUAUAUUUAGUUUAAAGUGAUUUAUAAGAUUAUGGUCAAUAUUUGAAAUUUUAUUAUUAUUAAAUACUUUAAUUUAUAGUAAUACCACUGAGUAUGAAAUACUCAGCGUACGGUUGUUUCCGUGCGCAGGUUGUAGAAGUCAAGUACUGAACCAGCAUCCAAAACCAGACCCGACUUCAGCAAAUUUUGGUGAUGUAUAUUUUCUUUUAGUAAUGUGGCAUGUACAUAGGAUGUGUAUAAAUGUUAUAAUGUUUUGAAUAUAAAUAGUUAAAAAUGUUAGUAUUAU